GGACUACUCGGGUAUCUAAUCCUGUUUGAUCCCCACGCUUUCGAGCCUCAGCGUCAGUUACAGUUUCGUCAGCUGCCUUCGCAAUCGGUGUUCUGUGUCAUAUCUAUGCAUUUCACCGCUACAUGACACAUUCCGCCAACGGCAUCUGUACUCAAGUCCUACAGUAUCAAUGGCACGUCUAUCGUUAAGCGAUAGGAUUUCACCACUGACUUAUAAGACCGCCUACGCUCCCUUUAAACCCAAUAAAUCCGGAUAACGCUCGCAUCCUUCGUAUUACCGCGGCUGCUGGCAC
rnacentral:rRNA from 1 species